AUGGGAAGGGUGAGCGUGAGAACAGCUGGCUCGGUGGUGGUAUGAGCCGGCUGUUCUGAUGAUCGCCCUUCAUGUGA
rnacentral:pre_miRNA from 1 species